rnacentral:lncRNA from 1 species
UGCGGGUUUUCUUUUUGAUCGUUGAGGUCGCUCCUCUUCUUGUGUAGGAGCUGAAACUGGUGAUUGAACUAAAUCCAAAUUUGUCGAAUGUUCUGUCUCCUCCAGUUGUAAUAUUUUCUUUUCAAGAUCUACUGGAACAAGCUGCUGAACUCCUUUAUCUUUCCAUGGCCAGGUAACAUCUUCAUCAAAAACUAUAUCACGGCUAAUGACAAUUUUCUUGGUGUUAGAAUUAUAUAACUUAUAAGCCUUAGAUUGAUUACUAACACCAAGAAAAAUGGAUUUUUCUCCUUUAUCAUCUAGCUUGAUCCUUUUUUGAUCUGAAACAUAAGCAUAAGCUACACAUCCGAAGAUUCUGAAAUAGUCAACAAUUGGUUCUCGCUGGGUCCAUGCCUCCUCCGGGGUCAUAUUUUGAACAGAGAAAGUUGGACUUCUGUUUAAAACAUGAAUACUCAAGUCAAUAGCUUCUGGCCAAAAAAAUUUUGAGACACCGCUCCUUGUCAAAAUGCUGCGCACCAUAUUAAGGAUUUCGUUAUUCUUCCGCUCACAGACAUCAUUUUGCUGAGGUGUGUAAGCUGCAGUAAGUUGCCUCUUGAUUCCAUUUUCAUCACAGAACUUUGUAAAUUCUUGAGAAUUGAACUCUCCUCCACAAUCAGUACGAAUAAUUUUUAAUGGAUUACCUGUUUCUUUCUCAACAAGUACUUUAAAACGCUUAAAAAUGUCAAGUGCUUCAGACUUUUCUUGUAAAAAAUACACCCUUGUUUUCCGA